GUGAGGAAUCUUCCACAAUGGGCGAAAGCCUGAUGGAGCAACGCCGCGUGAAGGAUGAAGGUCUUCGGAUUGUAAACUUCUUUUAUGAGUGAAGAAUAUGACGGUAACUCAUGAAUAAGCACCGGCUAACUACGUGCCAGCAGCCGCGGUCAUACGUAGGGUGCAAGCAUUAUCCGGAGUGACUGGGCGUAAAGAGUUGCGUAGGUGGUUUGUUAAGUAGGUAGUGAAAUCUGGCGGCUCAACCGUACAGGCUAUUACCUAAACUGGCAAACUCGAGAAUGGUAGAGGUAACUGGAAUUUCUUGUGUAGGAGUGAAAUCCGUAGAUAUAAGAAGGAACACCAAUGGCGUAGGCAGGUUACUGGACCAUUUCUGACACUGAGGCACGAAAGCGUGGGGAGCGAACGGGAUUAGAAACCCCAGUAGUCC
rnacentral:rRNA from 1 species